rnacentral:rRNA from 1 species
UACGUAGGUGGCAAGCGUUGUCCGGAUUUACUGGGCGUAAAGAGCGCGCAGGCGGUCGGAUAAGUCGAAUGUGAAAGCCCCCGGCUCAACUGGGGAGGGUCAUUCGAUACUGUUCGACUGGAAGGCAGGAGAGGGAAGCGGAAUUCCCGGUGUAGUGGUGAAAUGCGUAGAUAUCGGGAGGAACACCAGUGGCGAAGGCAGCUCGCUGGGACGUUACUGACGCUGAGACGCGAAAGCGUGGGGAGCAAACAGG